rnacentral:lncRNA from 1 species
AAGUAUAUUAUCUUCUCUCUCUUAUCGCUUCUCUAUCUUUCAGAGAAAGAAGGAGAUUUCCGGUACACCGGAGUUUAUCUUGUAAAAUAGUUUUCCAGCUAAGUUCUGGAUUUUUGCACCGGCUAAGUCCGGUUUCUUUCUCGUUUUAGCGAGAUCUAGAUCUCUAAUCCAUUUGUGUUUUCUUUUAGUUAAAGUUUUCUGAUUAUCCUUCCAAAUUUUCUUCAAUCUCUUCAACUAUUUGUGGAGUAAUAUCUUCAUCGCUUUAUUUUACUCAUAUCAUAAGAGCAAAGAAAAGAAUUACAUCAAAUCUGGAUGUAUUCGGUGGUGGAGCUUCCCGGAGUUGAUGAUCUUUGGAGAAGAUUUGAAGAGUUUUAUCUAGAAACCAGAAAAACUUGACAUAUCUCUUGGAUGGAUCUGAGAUCGGCAGAAGAAAAUUGACAGAAGAAAAGAAGUUCUCCAUCAAGCAAAGGAUGAAUCUAUCAAUCUAAGGAGCUUGAUCGGAANNN